ACCAGUCAAAAGUUUGGACGCACCUACUCAUUCAAGGGUUUUUAAUUAUUUUUUACUAUUUUCUACAUUGUAGAAUAAUAGUGAAGACAUCAAACUAUGAAAUAACACAUAUGGAAUCAUGUAGUAACCAAAACAAGUGUUAAACAAAUCAAAAUCAAUUUGAGAUUAUUCUAUGUAGCCUCCAUUUGCCUUGAUGACAGCUUUGCACACUCUUGGCAUUCUCUCAACCAGCUUCACCUGGAAUGCUUUUCCAACAGUCUUGAAGGAGUCCAACUCAAACCAAACCAUCUCAAUUGGGUUGAGGUCGGGUGAUCGUGGCCAAAUCAUCUGAUGCAGCACUCCAUCACUCUCCUUCUUGGUCAAAUAGCCCUUACACAGCCUGGAGGUGUGUUGGGUCAUUAUCCUGUUCAGGGAUUCAAACUAGUCACCUUUCGGCGAAAUUUGCCGUUUUGAAUCCAAAAUAGGUGACCUACGUGAUUCGUGUGGAUCCGAUGAGAAAAGAUCACUACUGGCUGUAAGCAAAGUGCAACGCAGCAAGUGACUGAAGAGCAUCAAUGUGCUAGUCACAGCAUCAUUGCGCGUUCUGGAAAGACUGGAAAGGCAGUUACAGCAGCGCGUCCCCUGAACGAUAAUGAAGAGGUGACGUUAGGUGAGAAGCCUGACCACGGAGACGGUGGUGAGAAGGUGAUGAAGCAUACUUCAUGAGCUGUAAUCGAAAAACAACUGGCAUUUGGAAAGUUUGAGCUGAGGGAGAAAGUGUGGUGGAACAAGUAUUAGCAUUGUUAAGUAUCUUGCUAGCUGGAUCGGAUUCUCCGUUAGCUAGCCAGAGUAAUGUUGAACAACAUUAGCCUACUCAUCUGAUCAAAUAAUUGAGUUUAUGGUGUGAAAAUUAGCUGGCUAAUAAAAUCAGAGUUAACGUUAGCUCAUCUGAUGUUGUAACGUUAGCUAGCUAACAUUAGUAACCUAACCAAUUCGAUAUAGUAUUAACUGGUAUACGACUCCUUGCCGUUCAAGUUAUAACGAGUUAGUUGCUUACUGGACCUGUGUGAAAUGUUAACUAGCUAACCACUAUCUGUUUCCCUCUAUAGUAUGUGGUUAAUUUUCAGAAUGAUAGAAUGAGGUGAAAAUGAGGCGUUGCUUGUUAAACAAGUGGAUUCAGGGAUCAAGUGUAGCUGUAGCUGGACCUGGUUGAAACUGGAUGCCACUGUAGAGGUGAAAGAAACACCACACACUUUCCCUCUCUCACUUUUUCUGGCACACUGUAGAACAGAUGUCCACAGGCAGAAAGUGUAUUAUGUGCAGUGUAGCCCAAAGAUAGUUUUUGUUGUGUUGAACUUGACAGUAACACCUGUGUGUGUGAGUGAGGGGGGAUUAUAUAUAUAUAUAUAUAUAUUUUAACUCAGUGAACGUUAUUUUUGCACACAUGUAGCCUUGUGCACUUGAUUGAGGUCUACUAUAGUAGUGGGCACUAUAACAGAACAACAAUAGAAUGCCUGUUUGUUUAAUUCUAUUUCUACUUUAAGAUGUUUUUUUUCCCCCAAAUGCAAUAUUUAUGUGGUCACAAGCGUUCUAUUAUAAAGACUAUCAUGGCUAACUGCAAUAUUAGUGUAUUGUUCUUUCUCAUUUGCAGUAAAGUCUAGGCAACAAAUAACAUUGGAUGCUUUCGUUACAUUUUUAGGUAAUGUUAGGUUAGCUACACUACAUCUCAUUCCAAAAUCAUUCAUAUGGAGUUGGUCCUCCCUUUGCUGCUAUAACAGCCUCCACUCUUCUGGGAAGGCAUUAAUAUGGAGUUGGUCUACCCUUUGCUGCUAUAACAGCCUCCACUCUUCUGGGAAGACUUUCCACUAGAUGUUGGAUUAUUGCAGCGGGGACUUGCUUCCAUUCAGCCACGAGCAUUAGUGAGGUUGGGUACUAAUGUUGGGCGACUAGGCCUGGCUCGUGUUCAGCUUUUCAAUUCAUCCCAAAGGUGUUCGAUGGGGUUCUUCCACACCGAUCUCAACGAAACAUUUCUGUAUGAACCUUGUUUGGUGCACAGGGGCAUUGUCACGGAGUCACGGAUCUCUCCAGUAAGGCCAUUAUACUGCCAAUGUUUGUCUAUGGAGAUUGCAUGGCGGUGUGCUCGAUUUUAUACACCUGUCAGCAACCGGUGUGGCUGAAAUAGCCAGAUCCACUAAUUUGAAGGGGUGUCCACGUACUUUUGUAUAUAAAGUGCAUUCGGGAAGUAUUCAGACCCCUUGACUUUUUCCACAUUUUGUUACAACCUUAUUCUAAAAUUGAUUAAAUUGUUUUUAUUCCUCAAUCUACAAACAAUACCCCAUAAUGACAGAGCAAAAACAGGUUGAGAAAUGUUUGCAAAGAAAAAAAAAAUCACAUUUACAAAAGUAUUCAGACCCUUUAAUCAGAACUUUGUUGAAGCACCUUUGGCUGCAAUUACAGCCUUGAAUCUUGGGUAUGACGCUACAAGCUUGGCACACCUGUAUUUGACUUGUCCCGAAGCCACUCUUGCAUUGUCUUGGCUGUGUGCUUCGGGUCAUUGUCCUGUUGGAAGGUGAAUGGUCGCCCCCAGUUUGAGGUCCUGAGUGCUUUGGAGCAGGUUUUCAUCAAGGAGCUCUCUGUACUUUGCUCCAUUCAUCUCCCCCUUAAUCCUGACUGGUUUACAGGGUAUUUAUUGUGUGUAGAUUGAUGAGGAACAUGUUUUAUUGAAUCCAUUUUAGAAUAAGGCUGUAACAUACCUACAUGUGGAAAAAGUCAAGGGGUUUUAAACUAUACCGCGCAUUCCGAAAGUAUGUUGCUAUUGUUCUUCAAACUAUGUGUAGGCAGGUUGCUUAGGAUUCAAACAGCUCGAUUCAUACUCUUUAGAGGAAUAAUAGAGUUUACAUUCUCCUGCUAUUAAAAUUAUGUAAAUAAAUCAUUUGUAAAUGUGUAAUAUUGGUACGUCAACAUCUUCAUUGCAAAAAAAAAAGUCAGUACAUGUACAAACUUAACUUUAAGCUACACAUUAUUUUGACAGGAAGUCAAGAACUGUCCAUUGAUCAGCACAGCAAUUGAUAAAACAGGACCAUGUUUGAAACACAAGUGGUUCUGAGUUUAAUUCAAUAUUUCACCGGUUGGCUACCAGUUAUAGAAAUCAUGAAUGCAGACGGGCUCGGAGCUGCUAUGUCCCAACCCAACCCCACCUGCUGUUAUGUUGGUACGUACUGACCAACAAAGGAUCUUAUGAUUCAUGUUUUCCUAAAAUACAGGCAGCCAAACAUUACUACAAGACAAAACAUCUCAAUCAUGUCUGAUGGUCUUGUAAAUAUAAAAGCAAAGCUGGAUUUCAUUUCAUAAAACACCUUGAAAAGGUUUCGUAAUGGGAUGAUGGGUUCUUCACACACCACAGUAAGACAAUACUUGACCUUGUAUUUGGUACAAAUCACAUUAUUGUGGAAGCCCCUCUAACAGUAUGAAUGAGGCUGUUUGAGAAGGUUUGAAUCCCUAGCAACCUGCCUACACAUAGUCUGAAGUACAAUACCAACAUAGCUCCAGUAGUAGGUCAAAGCUGGGUGCUGGAAACCCUGGUAGAGCAUGUUGGGGGAAUAGGCAAGUUGGGGGAAUGGGCAUGGUGUUAGGUACGGGGUUAGGGGUGGUGAUAGGUACGGGGUUAGGGGUGGUGAUAGGUACGGGGGUAGGGGUGGUGAUAGGUACGGGGUUAGGGGUGGUGAUAGGUACAGGGUUAGGGGUGGUGAUAGGUAGGGGGUUAGUGUAACGGAUGUGAAACGGCUAGCUAGUUAGCGGUGGUGCGCGCUAAAUAGCGUUUCAAUCGGUGACGUCACUUACUGAGACCUUGAAGUAGUGGUUCCCCUUGCUCUGCAAGGGCCACGGCUUUUGUGGAGCGAUGGGUAAUGAUGCUUUGUGGGUGACUGUUGUUGAUGUGUGCAGAGGGUCCCUGGU
ensembl:lncRNA